rnacentral:rRNA from 1 species
AUUGAACGCUGGCGGCGUGCCUAAUACAUGCAAGUCGAGCGCAGGAAGCCGUCUGAACCCUUCGGGGGGACGACGGUGGAAUGAGCGGCGGACGGGUGAGUAACACGUAAAGAACCUGCCCAUAGGUCUGGGAUAACCACGAGAAAUCGGGGCUAAUACCGGAUGUGUCAUCGGACCGCAUGGUCCGCUGAUGAAAGGCGCUCCGGCGUCGCCCAUGGAUGGCUUUGCGGUGCAUUAGCUAGUUGGUGGGGUAACGGCCCACCAAGGCGACGAUGCAUAGCCGACCUGAGAGGGUGAUCGGCCACACUGGGACUGAGACACGGCCCAGACUCCUACGGGAGGCAGCAGUAGGGAAUCUUCCACAAUGGACGAAAGUCUGAUGGAGCAACGCCGCGUGAACGAUGAAGGCUUUCGGGUCGUAAAGUUCUGUUGUAAGGGAAGAACAAGUGCCGCAGGCAAUGGCGGCACCUUGACGGUACCUUGCGAGAAAGCCACGGCUAACUACGUGCCAGCCGCCGCCGUAACAC